rnacentral:ncRNA from 1 species
CCGUCCAAAAGGACAUAAGAUCCCUUGCAGAGUACAAGGUAGAUAGGGCAGGGAUGUAAGCACAGCAAUGUGUUCAGUUGACUGUCACUAAUCGAUCGA